CCUGGUUGAUUCUGCCCCUAUUCAUAUGCUUGUCUCAAAGAUUAAGCCAUGCAUGUCUAAGUAUAAGCAACUUUGUACUGUGAAACUGCGAAUGGCUCAUUAAAUCAGUUAUAGUUUAUUUGAUGGUUUUUGCUACAUGGAUAACUGUGGUAAUUCUAGAGCUAAUACAUGCAUUCAAGCCCCGACUUCUGGAAGGGGUGUAUUUAUUAGAUAAAAAUCAACUUUGUUGGUGAAUCAUAAUAACUUCUCGGACCGCAUGGCCUUGUGCUGGCGGUGCUUCAUUCAAAUAUCUGCCCUAUCAACUGUCGAUGGUAGGAUAGAGGCCUACCAUGGUUGCAACGGGUAACGGGGAAUAAGGGUUCGAUUCCGGAGAGGGAGCCUGAGAAACGGCUACCACAUCCAAGGAAGGCAGCAGGCGCGCAAAUUACCCAAUCCCGACACGGGGAGGUAGUGACAAUAUGUAACAAUAUACGGCCUUAUACGUCGUAUAAUUGGAAUGAGUACAAUUUAAAUCCCUUAACGAGGAACAAUUGGAGGGCAAGUCUGGUGCCAGCAGCCGCGGUAAUUCCAGCUCCAAUAGCGUAUAUUAAAGUUGUUGCAGUUAAAAAGCUCGUAGUUGGACCUUGGACCUGGACAGGCGGUCCGCCUCACGGCGAGUACUGUCUUGCUGGGUCUUUCCUCUUGGUGAUCUGUUGUUUCGGCAGCAGGGAACCAGGACCUUUACUUUGAAAAAAUUAGAGUGUUCAAAGCAGGCUCGACGCCGGAAUAUAUUAGCAUGGAAUAAUAAAAUAGGACGUGCGGUUCUAUUUUGUUGGUUUUUGGAAUCGCCGUAAUGAUUAAUAGGGACAGUCGGGGGCAUUAGUACUCACAUGCUAGAGGUGAAAUUCUUGGAUUUUGUGAAGACUAACUUCUGCGAAAGCAUUUGCCAAGGAUGUUUUC
rnacentral:rRNA from 1 species